AUACGGAGGAUCCAAGCGUUAUCCGGAUUUAUUGGGUUUAAAGGGUGCGCAGGCGGAAGAUUAAGUCGGCGGUGAAAUUUUGCAGCUCAACUGUAAAAGUGCCAUCGAUACUGGUUUUCUUGAGUGUGGAUGAAGUAGGCGGAAUUUGUGGUGUAGCGGUGAAAUGCAUAGAUAUCACGAGGAACUCCGAUUGCGCAGGCAGCUUACUAGGCCAUAACUGACGCUCAGGCACGAAGGCGUGGGGAUCAAACAGGAUUAGAUACCCUGGUAGUCCACGCAGUAAACGAUGAUUACUCGCUGUUUGCGAUACACAGUAAGCGGCUUAGCGAAAGCGUUAAGUAAUCCACCUGGGGAGUACGUUCGCAAGAAUGAAACUCAAAUGAAUUGACGGGG
rnacentral:rRNA from 1 species